CUUCUCCUAGGGGGAGCAUCCCGGAAGGGAUGAUCUGGCCCCUCCUAAAAGACUUUCCACGUGAGCCGUAUCUACCCUUUUAGUUGGGGGUGUUGCUUUGGCAUUUUGCUGAGCCGCGCCCUAUCGUGGCAAAUGUUUGGACUUCGGUCUGGGCUAAUAUCUUUUUUUUUUAAACCCUUUAACAAUACUGAUUAUACUGUGGGGACAAAAGUCUCUGCUUUUAACUAUAUAACAACUUUCAACAGUGGAUGUCUAGGCUCGCACAUCUAAGAAAAACGCUGCAAACUGCUAUACAUAAUGCAAAUUGCGAGAUUCAGUGACUCAUCAAAAUUUUGAACGCAUAUUGCACUUCCGGGUUACUCCUGGGAGUAUGCCUGUAUCAGUGUCCGUACAUCAAACUUGGCUUUCUUCCUUCCGUGUACUCGGUGGAAGAUGUGCCAUAUGUGAAGUGUCUUGCGGUUUGUGUGCCUUCGGGCCGACGCUGCGAGUCCUUUGAAAUGUACUGAAGUGUACUUCUCUUUGCUCGAAAAGCGUGGUGAUGCUGGUUGUGGACGCUGCCUGCGUGGCCACUCGGCGACCGGUUUGUCUGCUGCGGCGUUUAGUGGAAGAGUGUUCGAUUCGCGGUAUGGUUGGCUUCCGCUGAACACACGCUUAGUGUAUGCUUUUCCCGCUGUGGCGUGAUGGGCUGGUGAACCGUAUCUGUGUGUGUCGUGUCUUUUGACUCGGCUUUUGCUGUUGCAAAGUAGAGUGGCGGCUUCGGCUGUCGAGUGUCAAUCCAUUUUGGAGAACCUUUUGUGUGCGCUUUCGAGUGCGCAUCUCAUGUGGCACCUGAUAUCAGCAGAUCCCCGCUGACCUUACCCAUAUCAUAAGCGGGAGAUCCCUUGACUUCCUGUGACGUACCUCUUUUAUUAGGGGGUGUUGUGGCCAUUUCUAGAGUCCGACCUACUGAGAAUGGUUGACUCGGCAGGCCACAUCCUUUUGUUCACAUAAUCGAUACGGGGAACAAGUCUGCUUACUAAAUACUUCAAAGGAUGCCAGCCUCUCAUGAAAAGCCUCG
rnacentral:rRNA from 1 species